rnacentral:rRNA from 1 species
AAUAGAUACCCGGGUAGUCCACGCCGUAAACGAUGAGUGCUAAGUGUUGGGGGGUUUCCGCCCCUCAGUGCUGCAGCUAACGCAUUAAGCACUCCGCCUGGGGAGUACGGUCGCAAGACUGAAACUCAAAGGAAUUGACGGGGGCCCGCACAAGCGGUGGAGCAUGUGGUUUAAUUCGAAGCAACGCGAAGAACCUUACCAGGUCUUGACAUCCCGGUGACCACUAUGGAGACAUAGUUUCCCCUUCGGGGGCAACGGUGACAGGUGGUGCAUGGUUGUCGUCAGCUCGUGUCGUGAGAUGUUGGGUUAAGUCCCGCAACGAGCGCAACCCUUAUUCUUAGUUGCCAUCAUUUAGUUGGGCACUCUAAGGAGACUGCCGGUGAUAAACCGGAGGAAGGUGGGGAUGACGUCAAAUCAUCAUGCCCCUUAUGACCUGGGCUACACACGUGCUACAAUGGACGGUACAAACGGUUGCCAACCCGCGAGGGGGAACUAAUCCGAUAAAACCGUUCUCAGUUCGGAUUGUAGGCUGCAACUCGCCUACAUGAAGCCGG